rnacentral:tRNA from 1 species
GCCGGUUUGGCGGAGAAGCAGACGCGACAGCCUGCAGAGCUGUUUUACCUGGGUGCAAAUCCCAGAGCCGGCUCCA